AACGAAAAAAAAGAAACUCCCAUAUACCCCCCCCCCCCCCCGUCGUCUUUUUUUUUCUUUUUUUUUUUUUUUUUUUUCUUUUUUAUUUUUUUUUUUUUUU
rnacentral:ribozyme from 16 species